UCCGUGUAGGCCGCAGUGAAGCCUGAACUCGAGUAGGGCCCAAGCCAGCCAGGAAGGAGGAGGCAGCCAGAGUGUUCUCUGCAGCAGAAGAUCCCUUGCUGCACUGCUUAACCCAGACCAGCAUUUGCCAGGUCCUGUCUGUCAGCAGAGUUCCAUGUCCUUUGAGGCUGUUUAUCUCUGUAAUGUCCAGUUGAGAUUUUGCCACUAGAAAGGCAGCAGCAGCAGCAGCAGCAUCUGCUACCAUGAUCCUGCAGCCACCACAUUGUAUAAUCCAUGUUUUAAAGACAAGCCACUUGUAUGUGUAUUGCCGAAUAUAUUCAGUGUUACCCAGUCAUUCUUAUUCAUAUUAAAAUUUCUAUUUGUUC